rnacentral:misc_RNA from 1 species
AAUGUUUGCCUCAACUCAACGUGUCUGCUUCCCCAUCACACCACCCACCAAAAAAUAAAUAAUUUCAGAUACCAAUGGAAAUAAUAAAUAGAUUUUUAUUUUCAAGAGGAAAAGAUUCAAUAUGCAAUCCAAAAAGGACAAGACAACAAAAGUCAAUGCACUUAUAUCUGGUUGGUACAAACUCGAAGACUAUUAACCAAAAGCAGAAUCAUUAUUGAACUCUUGAAAAAUAAUAUCAAAAGAAAAGGAUGGAAUGAAAGACAAGAACCAACCAUUGAAGUUUAGGCACUUUCUCAAUACUCAACUCAACUCAA